GAUGAACGCUGGCGGCGUGCCUAAUACAUGCAAGUCGAGCGAACAGACGAGGAGCUUGCUCCUCUGACGUUAGUGGCGGACGGGUGAGUAACACGUGGAUAACCUACCUAUAAGACUGGGAUAACUUCGGGAAACCGGAGCUAAUACCGGAUAAUAUAUUGAACCGCAUGGUUCAAUAGUGAAAGACGGUUUUGCUGUCACUUAUAGAUGGAUCCGCGCCGCAUUAGCUAGUUGGUAAGGUAACGGCUUACCAAGGCAACGAUGCGUAGCCGACCUGAGAGGGUGAUCGGCCACACUGGAACUGAGACACGGUCCAGACUCCUACGGGAGGCAGCAGUAGGGAAUCUUCCGCAAUGGGCGAAAGCCUGACGGAGUAACGCCGCGUGAGUGAUGAAGGUCUUCGGAUCGUAAAACUCUGUUAUUAGGGAAGAACAAAUGUGUAAGUAACUAUGCACGUCUUGACGGUACCUAAUCAGAAAGCCACGGCUAACUACGUG
rnacentral:rRNA from 1 species